GCGAGCUUAUACAACCUAAGGGCCAUUUCCUUUGUGGGAGAAGAAGAAGAAGAAGAACCUGCCAUGCGCGCAUAUGCAGCAAUUGCGUUCAGUAAUGAAUGACCCUCAUCGGAUGUGUUCUCUCACUGGAGGCUGUACAUUCUGGAAGUACUCCCAGUAUUUCGUAGGCUACGUCUGCAGGGGUCUCAUCAAUAUGGAUAGCAAUGCAGGACGCAGACCACUCGAAGCUGUACAGGUGGAGCUGUAUACCAGAUCAUACCGAAAAUAAAGUAGCUUGUCUGCGCGGUCUGGACAUUGUUCACUGCCCCGUCAGCGUGCGUUUGCGAAUGUCAGACACUCGCGUCACCUCGCGGGAUUCUCGCACCACUGGGUUUUGAGAUCACGUUAUCAGUGCUGUUUUCAUGCAGUGUCCGGAGACUUUAUGCUCCGGAAUUGAAGUGCUAACGGAAUUCAAGUGAAGCGACUGUGUCGUGUCUACUAAUUUUGCUAUUCUCAGGACAAGGUACAGGAAAUGACCCCGCAGAAGAGGAAACACCAGCCAUUCAGAAAUAUAUCUCUGAUAAUAGUGCGACGGCGACGAGUACGAUCAUGGUGCCAAGUAAUGCAACCAACACCGCGACCACUACGACUGCUGCGACCACUACGACUACUAGCACCUUGAAACCGCCCUUGCCUGGAAAGUUUCUUGCAUGCGUCAGUUCACUCGAUCAGGCAAUAUUUCAGGAGAUAGAUGGGUUGUGCUACUUCAUGUUCUACACCGUCCAGGACAUCAACCAACUGAAGAACAAGAAUCUCGGUCUUUCGAAAAGCAAAAUCGGUGUCGACAUACCGAGCUCGAGGGUUCAGGCUAAUCAGGCAAAACUUGCAAAUUCCAUCGCAACGUAUUGGCCAACGAUCCGAGAGUUCGCUGUCCUGGAUCUGGAACUCCGCCCAGGUGUUUCAACUUAUGUCGAUGACGUCAUAACAUUUCUAAAAGAAGCGGACACAAGCUUAAACACCCAUAUAAGAGCAGAGCCACCGCCACGUAUGAUGUUUGGCUACGUGCUACUAGGUGUGGCCGUAAUCCUUCAAGGCCAACCACCAAGUACCCUCAUGACGAACUUCAAUAAACUCGUACAAGAGGUUCAGCCCGACGCUCUGCUAUACCGGACUUCUCUAAAUCGUAAUGUCACGGACCCGGGGAUAUGCAGGCGUACAGGACCGGCACCCUGGAAGGGACAAGGCAUGCCGUCUGUGCAGUCUUCCUUCCUGGACUCGCUGAGAUUCAGGCGGGCGCCUGGGUUCCAGCCACUGCCUUUGAAGACAGCGGAAUUGCUCUCCGUUAGCGCUGCUGCCACUAAAACCGCAUACAAAAGUCCGGAUCGCACUCGACCUGGUGAUGCACCGUGCGAGAAUGUCACGCAGAUAAAUCCAAAGGACGUGAUGGUAGAUCUAACCCAAGCCCUGCUCAAGCCAUAGUUGAAGAGAUGUUUGAAGAAAGUAACACGGCCAGCACAAGAUGAUCCAGAAGAAAUGUCCAGUACACAACAGGUGGAACCAGUAGCAAGCAACACAGAAAUGCUAUAGCAAGAUGUCCACAGCGUGACAGGAAGUGGGUCUUCGACUUCCAUGGAUACAGAGAGUCCACAAAGGGCUGUGAGACGGUCACGUCACGGAGACCGAUUUUUCAACUCUCAAGCCGUGCACUACCUGGAGCGGAAACACAGUAGGGAGGCGGAUCAAAAAGACAAACAGCUGGAGUUGGAAGAAAGAAGACUGCGUGUUGAAGAGGAAAAACAAUCAUUCGAGAUGAUAACAUUUCAAGUCACAAUGGAUUGGAAGCGCGAGAAAAUGACACUAAUGAAAGAAGAACGGAACAGACAAAUUGAUUUUCAACACACACACCUGGAUCUGAUGAGGGUGAUAAUCCAAGAAAUGUUGCACAAAGAGUGAUGACCAACCUUGAUUAACCUGAACAGGACUUUCAUUUUCAUUUAUCCGUUGUGCAGCAUUUAGUCAGACAAGUAAUGUACAGUUUACAACAACCUUUAUUGGACACAAAAGUGUGUGUGGAAUACACAGUAGCAGCAAAGUGAAACCCCUCUGUGAAUCACAUGCACCCUUGUGUUCGGAACAAAAUUGGUAAUAGCAUAACGAAACCAAAUACGUGUCAAGUGAUUGUGGGCUUACUACG